AAGGAAAACAGCUGUAAUCAAACUGUAUAUUUGGAAGAAAAAAAUUACAGUACAACUUUUCCAUAUUGAUUUGGGCGACCCACAAAAUCUUAAUCAAGCCUCUGAUUAAGCUAAUCAAGUCAAAACUCAAAAGUGUAGCGGAAAAUGGAAAACAAAACAUGGGCUGAUCAGUGGGGUUCAGGAGGCUUUGAUGAUGGCUAUGAAAAGAGCAAUGGUAAAACAAGGCUAGGAGGGGCCAAACAAAAGAGCAAGAAGACAGAAGGGGUAAAAGCAGCAGCUUCAACAGGGAUGGUUAAAGCCAAGACAGUUGCAAUUGUUAGUGCUAAAAAGAUGAAAACCGGAACAGCCAUUGGGAUCAAGUGGGUCAAGACACAGUACAAGAAGAAAUUCUCCUCAAAAUGAACAUUAUUUGUGAUGUCGAAAUCUCAGAAUUUGCGAUUUUUCGCGGCAAGGCAUUUCUAAUGUUGUACUUGUGAACCGUAUGUAAAGUUGCAAUAAGCUUGAGGCGAUGGUCCUGAUAUUUUUAUUAUAAUACCUUAAA